rnacentral:rRNA from 1 species
GACGAACGCUGGCGGCGUGCUUAACACAUGCAAGUCGAACGGUAAGGCUCCAGCUUGCUGGGGUACACGAGUGGCGAACGGGUGAGUAACACGUGGGUGACCUGCCCUGCACUUCGGGAUAAGCCUGGGAAACUGGGUCUAAUACCGGAUAGGACCGCACCGUGAGGGUGUGGUGGAAAGUUUUUUCGGUGUGGGAUGGGCCCGCGGCCUAUCAGCUUGUUGGUGGGGUAAUGGCCUACCAAGGCGGCGACGGGUAGCCGGCCUGAGAGGGUGGACGGCCACAUUGGGACUGAGACACGGCCCAGACUCCUACGGGAGGCAGCAGUGGGGAAUAUUGCACAAUGGGCGGAAGCCUGAUGCAGCGACGCCGCGUGGGGGAUGACGGCCUUCGGGUUGUAAACUCCUUUCACCAUCGACGAAGGGUUUCUGACGGUAGAUGGAGAAGAAGCACCGGCUAACUACGUGCCAGCAGCCGCGGUAAUACGUAGGGUGCGAGCGUUGUCCGGAAUUACUGGGCGUAAAGAGCUCGUAGGUGGUUUGUCGCGUCGUCUGUGAAAUUCCGGGGCUUAACUCCGGGCGUGCAGGCGAUACGGGCAUAACUUGAGUACUGUAGGGGAGACUGGAAUUCCUGGUGUAGCGGUGAAAUGCGCAGAUAUCAGGAGGAACACCGGUGGCGAAGGCGGGUCUCUGGGCAGUAACUGACGCUGAGGAGCGAAAGCAUGGGGAGCGAACAGGAUUAGAUACCCUGGUAGUCCAUGCCGUAAACGGUGGGCGCUAGGUGUGGGUUUCCUUCCACGGGAUCCGUGCCGUAGCUAACGCAUUAAGCGCCCCGCCUGGGGAGUACGGCCGCAAGGCUAAAACUCAAAGGAAUUGACGGGGGCCCGCACAAGCGGCGGAGCAUGUGGAUUAAUUCGAUGCAACGCGAAGAACCUUACCUGGGCUUGACAUAUACAGGAUCGCGCCAGAGAUGGUGUUUCCCUUGUGGCUUGUAUACAGGUGGUGCAUGGUUGUCGUCAGCUCGUGUCGUGAGAUGUUGGGUUAAGUCCCGCAACGAGCGCAACCCUUGUCUUAUGUUGCCAGCACGUUGUGGUGGGGACUCGUAAGAAACUGCCGGGGUUAACUCGGAGGAAGGUGGGGAUGACGUCAAAUCAUCAUGCCCCUUAUGCCCAGGGCUUCACACAUGCUACAAUGGUCGGUACAGUGGGUUGCCAGUCCGUGAGGGCGAGCUAAUCCCGCAAAGCCGGUCUCAGUUCGGAUCGGGGUCUGCAACUCGACCCCGUGAAGUCGGAGUCGCUAGUAAUCGCAGAUCAGCAACGCUGCGGUGAAUACGUUUCCGGGCCU